rnacentral:misc_RNA from 1 species
GAUGAAGAACGCAGUGAAAUGCGAUACUUGGUGUGAAUUGCAGAAUCCCGUGAACCAUCGAGUCUUUGAACGCAAGUUGCGCCCGAAGCCAUUAGGCCGAGGGCACGCCUGCCUGGGCGUCACACGUCGUUGCCCCCCCAUCUACUCCUUCGGGAUUGCGGGGGGCGGAUGAUGGCCUCCCGUGCGCCACGCCGCGCGGUUGGCAUAAAUGCCAAGUCCUCGGCGACGCACGCCACGACAAUCGGUGGUUGCGAAACCUCGGUUGCCCGUCGUGUGCGGUCGUCGCGCAUCGAGGGCUCGAAAAAAUUGCCGGGUUCCGGCUCGGCUUUCAACGCGACCCCAGGUCAGGCGGGGUUACCCGCUGAAUUUAAGCAUAUCAAUAAGCGGAGGA